rnacentral:rRNA from 1 species
UACGUAGGGUGCAAGCGUUGUCCGGAAUUAUUGGGCGUAAAGAGCUCGUAGGCGGUGUGUCACGUCGGCCGUGAAAACCUGCAGCUUAACUGUGGGCGUGCGGUCGAUACGGGCAUCACUGGAGUUCGGCAGGGGAGACUGGAAUUCCUGGUGUAGCGGUGAAAUGCGCAGAUAUCAGGAAGAACACCCGUGGCGAAGGCGGCUCUCUGGAACGCAACUGACGCUGAGACGCGAAAGCGUGGGGAGCAAACAGG